rnacentral:tRNA from 1 species
ACUAUUUUGGCAGAAAAGUGUAAUGAUUUUAGAAGUCAUGAAUGUAUGAUUUUAAUUUAUAUAAAUAGUA